GCCGGGCGUGGUGGCUCACACCUGUAAUCCCAGCACUUUGGGAGGCUGAGGUGGGUGGAUCACCUGAGGUCAGGAGUUCGAGACCAGCCUGGCCAACAUGGUGAAACCCCGUCUCUA
rnacentral:SRP_RNA from 1 species